CUUAACCAACAGUGUAGACCUUACCGUGAAAUGCGUACUUACAAGCCCUUAACCAACAGUGUAGACCUUACCGUGAAAUGCUUACUUACAAGCCCUUAACCAACAGUGUAGACCUUACAGUGAAAUGCUUACUUACAAGCCCUUAACCAACAGUGUAGACCUUACUGUGAAAUGCUUACUUACAAGCCCUUAACCAACAGUGUAGACCUUACCGUGAAAUGCUUACUUACAAGCCCUUAACCAACAGUGUAGACCUUACCGUGAAAUGCUUACUUACAAGCCCUUAACCAACAGUUUAGACCUUACCGUGAAAUGCUUACUUACAAGCCCUUAACCAACAGUUUAGACCUUACCGUGAAAUGCUUACUUACAAGCCCUUAACCAACAGUGUAGACCUUACCGUGAAAUGCUUACUUACAAGCCCUUAACCAACAGUGUAGACCUUACCGUGAAAUGCUUUACUUACAAGCCCUUAACUCUUCUUGAAAUUCACUGUUGGUUAAGAAAAUAUUGACCAAGUAGACUAAAAUAAAAAGUAACACAAUAAGAAUAACAAUAACGUGGCUAUAUACAGGGGGCACCGGUACCGAGUCAGUGUGCGGGGGUACACGUUAGUUGAGCCUUUUGGUCCUAGAUUUGGCGCUCUGGUACUGCUUGCUGUGCGGUAGAGAAGAAAGUCUCUGAUCUGGUGAAAGCUAGGAUUCCUUAUUGAUGUAACCUGUUAAAUCCACUUCAAAUAGUUUAGAUGAAGGGGAGGAGAUGGGUUAAAGAAGGCAUUUUAAGACUUGAAAUUGUAUAUGUGUGCCAAUGAGGGUGAAUGGGAAAGAAAAAAUUUAAGUGCCUUUGAACGGGGUAUGGUAGUAGAUGUCAGGCGCACCGGUUUCUGUCAAGAACUGCAACGCUGCUGGUUUUUCAUGCUCAACACUUUCCCCUGUGUCUCAAGAAUGGUCCACCACCCAAAGGACAUCCAGCCAACUUGACACAACUGUGGGAAGGAUUGGAGUCAACAUCCCUGCGAAUUGAGGCAGGAUGGUGUUUCUUGUACACAGUGUAUAUUGUGUUACAUUCUUUACUAUGAUUUAUUCAAAGAAGGAAUACUUUUCACUAUUACAUGAUUGUGGAUGUAUAAUGUAUUAAUUUAUGUACUAUUUUACAAUCAAUGUAUGUAAAACAUGAUAAAUACAUUUAAAAUGUCUACUUUCAUGGAAUAGUCUGUGUUUUGGCUUUAGUUCCUGAGAGCAGUGCUUUUGGAGGUUGAAAUCCUUAGGUACACAACAAAUCUGUAUGUCUUACAAACUGAAGGUCAUGACUUCACAGCCAGCUGAAAUCCUGUUUCAUCCAUACCUUUCACUCCCCCGAUCUCUCUUUCCUAUCCUCCUCUCACAGUCAGGUCAGUGUAUGCGGACUAUUUUUAGGAGAAUUGUUCCCCAUAUCAUGUUCAGACGGUCAGCAGAACCAGGGCAGGACACUGCUGUACUGUCUGCUGCUGCUUAGUCAGAAACAUGUCUCCUGCCUUGUGGCUUUGUGAGACUUCAGAUAUUUCCAAUCAAAUUGUAUUUGAUACCAUACAUUGAGUAUAUUAAUUAAUUGCACAAGAAAUUGCUUCCCACACAGUUUUGAAUGACUUAUGUACAAUUAAAUUAUUGAACCGUUGAAUAAAUGAUGCAUAUUGGAAAAAAACAGUAAAGAUGUUGAGUCAAGGGUUUUAUAAUGAAGAG
ensembl:lncRNA